rnacentral:tRNA from 1 species
UGGUGUCGUUGAAGGGGAUGGGCGGGUGCUUCAGGUGCUUCCACCGCUUGCCGGUGGGGCGGUACUCGCCCAGCUGGCGGUCGCCUCGCCAGACCCGGAC